CCGUGCCGCGUGAGUGAAGAAGGCCUUCGGGUUGUAAAGCUCUUUUGUCAGGGACGAUAAUGACGGUACCUGAAGAAUAAGCCCCGGCAAACUUCCGUGC
rnacentral:rRNA from 1 species